CGUGAGACAGGUUAGUUUUACCCUACUGAUGAGGUUGUUGCCACGACAGUAAUCCGAUUUAGUACGAGAGGAACCGUCGGUUCAGUUAAUUCGUUCAUGCGCUUGCCUGAAAAGGCAGUGGCGCGAAGCGACCAACUGUAGGAUUAUGACUGAACGCCUCUAAGUCAGAAUCCAUGCUGGGAAUGUGGCGAUAUUCACCUUGCCUGAUGUGCACCUGCGCAACAAUAGGUCUCCGGACCCUAUGCCAUACCACAAACACAAUUUCAAAUAUCGGCGAGUUACACUCCUUGCAGACUACUUGGAUCUCUCACACGGUAUUGUAAGCAUGAGAGUAGGCUUUGCCCUACGAUCUGCUGAGAUUAAGCCGUUGUGC
rnacentral:rRNA from 1 species